rnacentral:rRNA from 1 species
AGUGAACGCUGGCGGUAGGCCUAACACAUGCAAGUCGAACGGCAGCACAGUAAGAGCUCGCUCUUACGGGUGGCGAGUGGCGGACGGGUGAGGAAUACAUCGGAAUCUACUUUUUCGUGGGGGAUAACGUAGGGAAACUUACGCUAAUACCGCAUACGACCUACGGGUGAAAGCAGGGGAUCUUCGGACCUUGCGCGAUUGAAUGAGCCGAUGUCGGAUUAGCUAGUUGGCGGGGUAAAGGCCCACCAAGGCGACGAUCCGUAGCUGGUCUGAGAGGAUGAGCAGCCACACUGGAACUGAGACACGGUCCAGACUCCUACGGGAGGCAGCAGUGGGGAAUAUUGGACAAUGGGCGCAAGCCUGAUCCAGCCAUACCGCGUGGGUGAAGAAGGCCUUCGGGUUGUAAAGCCCUUCUGUUGGGAAAGAAAAGCAGCAGGUUAAUACCCCGCUGUUCUGACGGUACCCAAAGAAUAAGCACCGGCUAACUUCGUG